GACAAUUUAGCCUACCCAAUUCACCUGUACCCCAUGUCUUUGGACUUGUAGGCAAAACCGGAGCACCCAGAGAAAACCCACCAAACGCAGAGAGAAUUUGCAAACUACACACAGAAAUGCCUGCUGAUCCAGCUGCGGCUCGAGUCAGCAUCCUUGCUUAUUGGAUGCCUGAUUGCAGUUCAACUCCAAACUCAGUUGGACCAGCUGAUCAGUGUCUUCAGUAUUACCACAAGCUACUGGGCAGAUGUGUGGACAGCUAUGAGCCAAACUUGGGACGUUUGGUUUUUAGCAGGUGUGACCGUCUGGGCAGCAGAAACAAGACAACUAAUCAUAGUUGAGUUGAGAUUAGUAUUAUUAACUUGACUAGUUUGGUUGCAGACUUGUUCAAUACUUAACAAUUUGUAUAAGUUACAAGAUCAAUGGUCCUGC